rnacentral:rRNA from 1 species
GAGGGGGGGAGGCCUACACUGCAAGUCGAGCGGUAGAGAGAAGCUUGCUUCUCUUGAGAGCGGCGCGACGGGUGACUAAUGCCUAGGAGUCUGCCUGGUACUGGGGGAUAACCUUCGGAAACGGACGCUAAUACCGCACACGUCCUACCGAAGAAAGCAGGGGACCUUCGGGCCUUGCACUAUCACAUGAACCUGGGUUCGAGUAAUUAGUUCGUGACGUAAUGGGUCACCCCUGCGACCAUCCCUAUGUGGUCUGAGAGGAUGACCAGUCACACUGGAACUGAUACACUGUCCACACUCCCACCGUACGCCGGUUUGGGGAAUGUUGGACACUGGGAGAGACCCUGAUUCAGCCCUGGCGAGUGAGGGAAAAGGGUCCUCUGAUUGUAGAGCACUUUCCGUUGGGAGGAAAGGCAAUUUCCCAAUACCCGAUUGUUUUCACGUUACCGGGUCACUAAGGACCCGAUAAAUCUGUGCCAACAUCCGUGGAAAUACAGGGGGGGCAAGGGUUUUUCCGAAUUUCUGGGCUUAAACCCCGGGUACGUGGCUUGUGAAGGUCCCCGUGAAAUCCCCUGGGUCUUCAUGGUGACGGCGUUCUCCCCUGGCGGACUACAUUAUGGGAUAGGGGGGCGGCAUUUACCGUGAAGCGCCCAAAUGCGUAUAUAUAUCAAUUAACGCCUGUGGCACACGCGACUACCUGCCCGGUUGCUGCCACUGAUGUGCGACAGCAUGUGGAGCACACAGGAUUGUAGUCCCCUGGUAGCCCACGCGGUACAUCAUGUAAAAUCGCCGUUGGGAGCCUUGAGGUAAUAUCGGCGCCCCUCACCCAAUAAUUUUACCGCCUGUGUAGGAGGGCCUCCCCGGUUGAACUCCAUGAAUUGACUGCGACCCGCACAAGCAGCGGAGCAUGCGGUUUGAUUCGAAAAUACCCAUAAAACAUACC